rnacentral:rRNA from 1 species
AAUGAACGCUGGCGGCAUGCCUUACACAUGCAAGUCGAACGGCAGCAUGACCUAGCUUGCUAGGUUGAUGGCGAGUGGCGAACGGGUGAGUAAUGCAUCGGAAUGUGCCUUUUAGUGGGGGAUAACGUAGCGAAAGUUACGCUAAUACCGCAUAUUCUCUGAGGAGGAAAGCAGGGGACCUUCGGGCCUUGCGCUAGAAGAGCGGCCGAUGUCGGAUUAGCUAGUUGGUGAGGUAAGGGCUCACCAAGGCAACGAUCCGUAGCGGGUCUGAGAGGAUGAUCCGCCACACUGGGACUGAGACACGGCCCAGACUCCUACGGGAGGCAGCAGUGGGGAAUUUUGGACAAUGGGCGCAAGCCUGAUCCAGCCAUGCCGCGUGAGUGAAGAAGGCCUUCGGGUUGUAAAGCUCUUUCGGCUGGGAAGAAAUCGCACCCUCUAAUACAGGGUGUGGAUGACGGUACCAGCAUAAGAAGCACCGGCUAACUACGUG